CCCUGCACGGCCCCGGGGCCACAGCGGGGCUGCCCCUCAUCCCAGCACCGCAUAACCCCGAGGUCCCGAAGCCCCCGCCGGGAAGGUACUCACAGCUUCCAUGUCUGACGGCACCACGAGGCACGCGGCGCUGGGGCAGCCCUGAGGCGACCGAACCGGCGGCCCGGCCCGGGCGGGCGGCUCUGCCCCCUCGCUAUUAAACACCCGCCGCCCCGGGCCGGGGACAGGUCCCAGGUGGGGCUGUCCCGAGUGCGGCUGUCCCAGGUGGGGCUGUCACCUGCCGGCUGUGACCCCGCUCCGCCCCGCCGCAGCUGGGCGCGCUUUGCAGCCCCCGGGUCCGGCCCGUCCCCCGGUGCUGCCCGCGGCUGAGGGGCAGGAGCCGGGCCCGGGCAGCCCCGCCAGGCCGGGCAGCCCCGCCAGGCCCGGCAGCCGCGCCGCGCACGGAGCAGCGCUCCGGCCUUGCAGGAGCCGCAGCUCGGACACCGUGAGGAGCACAGGCCUUGACUGCUCCGAGAAGCCCGGAGGUGGCCUUUGCUGUCAGCCAGCAUAGCAAAAGUUUCAUGGGAAGUCUGAAUUGGACUUCUAACACGGUGGAAAGGGGAAGUGAUCCCACAGCAAUGUGCAAAGGGAUCCUGAUGAAUAAAAAGAGACAAAGUGAAGGCAAGGCAAUGGAUCGACUUCCACAAGCUUCAUCAGCCAGCACUGAUUGGAGAGGACACUCAAAAGUUCCAGACCAAUUUUGAAAACUCUUUCUUUAAAGGUUUCCAGAAAAUCUGUAUUAAAUUGGCUUUUGUUUUCCUGUA